rnacentral:rRNA from 1 species
CACGUAGGAGGCGAGCGUUGUCCGGAAUCAUUGGGCGUAAAGAGCGCGCAGGCGGCUUGGCAAGUCGGGUGUGAAAUCCCGGGGCUCAACCCCGGGACUGCAUUCGAUACUGUCAGGCUAGAGGUAGGUAGGGGAGAUCGGAAUUCCUGGUGUAGCGGUGAAAUGCGCAGAUAUCAGGAGGAACACCUGCGGCGAAGGCGGGUUGCUGGGCCGACACUGGCGCUGAAGUGCGAAAGCUAGGGGAGCGAACGGG